rnacentral:rRNA from 1 species
UGGGGAAUAUUGCACAAGUGGGCGCAAGCCUGAUGCAGCCAUGCCGCGUGUGUGAAGAAGGCCUUGGGUUGUAAAGCACUUUCAGCGGGGAGGAAGGCGUUAAGGUUAAUAACCUUGGCGAUUGACGUUACCCGCAGAAGAAGCACCGGCUAACUCCGUACCAG